UACAGAGGGUGCGAGCGUUGUCCGGAAUCACUGGGCGUAAAGGGCGCGUAGGCGGCCUGAUAAGUAGGGGGUGAAAUCUUGCGGCUCAACCGCAAGGCUGCCUUCUAAACUGUCAGGCUGGAGCACGGUAGAGGCAGAUGGAAUUCCCGGUGUAGCGGUGGAAUGCGUAGAGAUCGGGAAGAACACCGGUGGCGAAGGCGGGUCUCUGGGCCGUAACUGACGCUGAGGAGCGAAAGCAUGGGGAGCGAACAGG
rnacentral:rRNA from 1 species